rnacentral:rRNA from 1 species
AGUGAACGCUGGCGGUAGGCCUAACACAUGCAAGUCGAACGGCAGCACAGUAAGAGCUUGCUCUUACGGGUGGCGAGUGGCGGACGGGUGAGGAAUACAUCGGAAUCUACUUUUUCGUGGGGGAUAACGUAGGGAAACUUACGCUAAUACCGCAUACGACCUACGGAUGAAAGCAGGGGAUCUUCGGACCUUGCGCGAUUGAAUGAGCCGAUGUCGGAUUAGCUAGUUGGCGGGGUAAAGGCCCACCAAGGCGACGAUCCGUAGCUGGUCUGAGAGGAUGAUCAGCCACACUGGAACUGAGACACGGUCCAGACUCCUACGGGAGGCAGCAGUGGGGAAUAUUGGACAAUGGGCGCAAGCCUGAUCCAGCCAUACCGCGUGGGUGAAGAAGGCCUUCGGUUGUAAAGCCCUUUUGUUGGGAAAGAAAAGCAGCAGGUUAAUACCCCGCUGUUCUGACGGUACCCAAAGAAUAAGCACCGGCUAACUUCGUG